rnacentral:rRNA from 1 species
AGCGAACGCUGGCGGCAGGCUUAACACAUGCAAGUCGAGCGGGCAUCCUUGUGGUGUCAGCGGCAGACGGGUGAGUAACGCGUGGGAACGUGCCCUUCGGUUCGGAAUAACUCAGGGAAACUUGAGCUAAUACCGGAUACGUGCGAGAGCAGAAAGGUUUAUCUGCCGAAGGAUCGGCCCGCGUAUGAUUAGCUAGUUGGUGAGGUUACGGCUCACCAAGGCGACGAUCAGUAGCUGGUCUGAGAGGAUGAUCAGCCACACUGGGACUGAGACACGGCCCAGACUCCUACGGGAGGCAGCAGUGGGGAAUAUUGGACGAUGGGGGCAACCCUGAUCCAGCCAUGUCGCGUGAGUGAUGACGGCCUUAGGGUUGUAAAGCUCUUUUCUCCGGGACGAUAAUGACGGUACCGGAGGAAUAAGCCCCGGCUAACUUCGUG